rnacentral:rRNA from 1 species
AACGAACGCUGGCGGCAGGCCUAACACAUGCAAGUCGAACGCCCUAGCAAUAGGGAGUGGCAGACGGGUGAGUAACACGUGGGAACCUUCCCUAUAGUACGGAAUAGCUCAGGGAAACUUGAAGUAAUACCGUAUACGCCCGAGAGGGGAAAGAUUUAUCGCUAUAGGAUGGGCCCGCGUCGGAUUAGCUAGUUGGUGAGGUAAUGGCUCACCAAGGCGACGAUCCGUAGCUGGUUUGAGAGAACGACCAGCCACACUGGGACUGAGACACGGCCCAGACUCCUACGGGAGGCAGCAGUGGGGAAUAUUGGACAAUGGGCGCAAGCCUGAUCCAGCCACGCCGCGUGAGUGAUGAAGGCCUUAGGGUUGUAAAGCUCUUUAGUCAGGGAAGAUAAUGACUGUACCUGCAGAAUAAGCUCCGGCUAACUUCGUGCCAGCAGCCGCGGUAAU